rnacentral:rRNA from 1 species
UGACGCUGAGCUCGAAAGCAUGGGUAGCGAACAGGAUUAGAUACCCUGGUAGUCCAUGCCGUAAACGAUGAGUGCUAAGUGUUGGAGGGUUUCCCCCUUCAGUGCUGCAGCUAACGCAUUAAGCACUCCGCCUGGGGAGUACGACCGCAAGGUUGAAACUCAAAGGAAUUGACGGGGGCCCGCACAGCGGUGGAGCAUGUGGUUUAAUUCGAAGCUACGCGAAGAACCUUACCAGGUCUUGACAUCUUCUGCCAAUCUUAGAGAUAAGACGUUCCCUUCGGGGACAGAAUGACAGGUGGUGCAUGGUUGUCGUCAGCUCGUGUCGUGAGAUGUUGGGUUAAGUCCCGCAACGAGCGCAACCCUUAUUAUCAGUUGCCAGCAUUCAGUUGGGCACUCUGGUGAGACUGCCGGUGACAAACCGGAGGAAGGUGGGGAUGACGUCAAAUCAUCAUGCCCCUUAUGACCUGGGCUACACACGUGCUACAAUGGAUGGUACAACGAGUUGCGAACUCGCGAGAGUAAGCUAAUCUCUUAAAGCCAUUCUCAGUUCGGAUUGUAGGCUGCAACUCGCCUACAUGAAGUCGGAAUCGCUAGUAAUCGCGGAUCAGCAUGCCGCGGUGAAUACGUUCCCGGGCCUUGUACACACCGCCCGUCACACCAUGAGAGUUUGUAACACCCAAAGUCGGUGGGGUAACCUUUAGGAACCAGCCGCCUAAGGUGGGACAGAUGAUUAGGGUGAAGUCGUAACAAGGUAACCA